rnacentral:rRNA from 1 species
AUUGAACGCUGGCGGCAUGCCUUACACAUGCAAGUCGAACGGUAACGCGGGGCAACCUGGCGACGAGUGGCGAACGGGUGAGUAAUGCAUCGGAACGUGCCCAGUAGUGGGGGAUAGCUCGGCGAAAGCCGGAUUAAUACCGCAUACGACCUACGGGUGAAAGGGGGGGAUCGCAAGACCUCUCGCUAUUGGAGCGGCCGAUGUCAGAUCAGGUAGUUGGUGGGGUAAAAGCCUACCAAGCCGAUGAUCUGUAGCUGGUCUGAGAGGACGACCAGCCACACUGGGACUGAGACACGGCCCAGACUCCUACGGGAGGCAGCAGUGGGGAAUUUUGGACAAUGGGGGAAACCCUGAUCCAGCCAUGCCGCGUGCGGGAAGAAGGCCUUCGGGUUGUAAACCGCUUUUGUCAGGGAAGAAACGCUCUGGGCUAAUACCUUGGAGUAAUGACGGUACCUGAAGAAUAAGCACCGGCUAACUACGUGCCAGCCGCCGCAGUAAAAC